CCUACGGGUGGCAGCAGUGAGGAAUAUUGGUCAAUGGGCGGAAGCCUGAACCAGCCAAGUAGCGUGAAGGAUGACGGCCCUACGGGUUGUAAACUGCUUUUAUACGGGAAUAAAGCUCAGUAUGUGUAGUGUUUUGUAUGUACCGUAUGAAUAAGGAUCGGCUAACUCCGUGCCAGCAGCUGCGGUAAUACGGAGGGUCCGGGCGUUAUCCGGAUUUAUUGGGUUUAAAGGGAGCGUAGGCGGAAUGUUAAGUGAGCUGUGAAAUGUUCCGGCUCAACCCGGGCAUUGCAGUGGAUACUGGCGUGCUUGAGUGCAGGGAAGGCAGGCGGAAUUCGUGGUGUAGCGGUGAAAUGCUUAGAUAUGACGAAGAACCCCGAUUGCGAAGGCAGCUUGCUGGAGCGGAACUGACGCUGAUGCUCGAAAGCGCGGGUAUCGAACAGGAUUAGAUACCCGAGUAGUC
rnacentral:rRNA from 1 species